ensembl:lncRNA
GUUGAUAUAGUUGAGCGAUGCAGUCCUGUAGCUCUGCUCACUGUGUCCUGAUCUUACUGAUCUUCACAUUCACUGCUGUGUAUGUGUCAGCUGUUCCUCUAGUGAGGGUGAAGCUUCAUGACUCUGCUACUCUGCCCUGCUCUGAGACAUGUUCUGGUUUGGUCAGAUGGACUGAGUUCCAUAAUCCCACUGAUGUUCUAGCUGAGUGUGAUCAGACCUCAUGUAGAUCAGUGAAGGAGGGAUAUCAGAUGAUCCAUGAUCAGUACCUGAAGGGAGAUCUCUCUCUCACCAUCACUGACGCUGAUUACAGUAUGAUGGGCACGUACACAUGUGAGUGCGGUAAUUCUGAACUCUGUGAUGUGCGGCUUCAGGUUGAGGAAACACCAGAGGCAGGGAACAAUAUUUCUGGCAGCAGUCAUACUAAAGGAACGUCCCACGGGUCUGAAUCAGCUGUUUCUCUAGUGAAGGUGAAGCUUCAUGACUCUGCUACUCUGCCCUGCUCUGGGAGAUGUCCUGGUUUUGUCAGAUGGACUGAGUUCAGUAAACCCAGUGAUGUUCUGGCUGAGUGUGAUCAGACUUCAUGUAGAUCAGUGAAGGAGGGAUAUCAGAUGAUCUAUGAUCAGUACCUGAAGGGAGAUUUCUCUCUCAUCAUCACUAAUGCUGAUUUCAGUAAGAAGGGAGUCUACUCAUCUGACUGUGAUGGUAAAGAUCUCUGUGAUGUGGAGCUUCAGGUUGAGGACACACCAGAGCCAGAGAAGAGGCCUGAGAUCAAAGGAGACAUUGACAAACCAUCCCAUGGUGAAGGACAACGCUGGGUGCCUGUGUUGGUUGCUGUGCUCACGGUGGUGCUGAUGCUGGUGCUGUUGCAGAUACUGGUGCAUGUGUCUGUAGCUGCAGGGUGGUAUAUGUUCAAAGCAAGGAGCAUGAAAAGUUCCGAUCAGGAGGAAAACCAGGAGUAAAGUUCUGCAGUGUGAGCUCAGCAUCAGCUAACAGUUUCUGACUGUGAUAUUAAUAUUGAUAUUGAUUGUAUCUGUAAGUGUUUAGUUUAGUGAAUCUCUUUUUCAUGGUGUUCCUCUGUAAGAACAAAGUCUGUCUGGUUUUCUGACUCUGUGAUGUUGAUUAUAUUGAUUGUAUCUGUAAAUGAUUAGUUUGUUCCACUGUAAAGAACAGAGACUGUCUGGUAGCUUUCAGUCCCUCACACACACACACACACACACACACACACACACAGUCAGUGUAUAAACACCGUAAAGACCCCGACACUCUGACACCCCGACCAGCAGCAGCUCAGCUGUGUCUGAUUUCAUCUUCAGCUGAGUGCAGAGCGUCUGAAGCAGCUGUAAGGCAGCAUGUUCACCCUUCAGCUCCUGAUAGAAGUGUGGAGGAGUUCCUCUCAGAGCUCACAGCUCACUAUCACACACACAGUCCUCAGUUCUUUCAGUGGAAUAAGAGCUUUCAUACAGACGUGGACUUUAAAGUGUAUAAGCUGUUACUGUUUUAAAGGAAACUCUGACUGAUGAGACUCAUGUGCUUUAUAACAGUGUAGUAAUGUCCAGUACUGUUAUAAUCUAAUGUACAAACCGACGAGAAUGUUUUAUUUAUUAUAACAUAAAGAGAGAAAAUCUCCCGACUAGUAACUCACCAUUGAGGCCUUGUGAUGAUGUCAUGAUUGUUCAGGUCAUCUGGAAAAUAAGAUUAUUAAAAGUUUCUCUUCUGGGUAAUUAAGGCUCUAGAUAAAGCUGGAAAGGUUCCAUUAGAUGUUUAGUUGAUUCCUAUUAGAGGAAUUUUAACAGUCAGUGUUUUGCUUGAGGCCUGAGUAUCAGUCAGGGUUUGAUUUAAAUUGUUCCAUCACCGUUAUUGUUAUUACUUUUAUUACUGUUACUACUUUCUGUACUUGUAUUACUAUUAUUACUUACUUACCCGCAUUGCCUUUAUUACUAUAUCACUUUCUUUACUGAUAAUAGGGCAGCAAACUAACAUGCAGCUCAUCCAGCUAAUGGCCUUUUACAGUAUGCGUGGUUAAUAUUAGUAAUAGCAGUAGCAGUAAAGCUUUUGCUAGUAGUAUUGUGCCUUUGAUUGCUACAAAUAAGAGUUAAAUCAAUAGAUGUCAAAUAUUUCCUGCCUUAUUUUGAAUAUGACGUCACAAACAUCACUCAGAAGACGUGAACUGGCCCAUGAGACAGUGGGCAGUAUAGAUAUUAAUGUUCGUUUAGAAGUAACAGCUUCAGUUCUUCUCCUCAGGAACCCAGUUGGGAAACAGAAUAGCAGCUCACUGUCUCUUUGUUUUAUGUUCUUUAUAUGUCGUAUUUGAAGCUUUGGUGUUAUGAAUAAAAGCCGAACUAUAGUUGUUAUUUGUAAUUUGCUGAUAGUGCCUAAAAUUAUAACAAUGCAAGGCUGUUAUACUCCUGGGUAAAUAAAGCCUGUUUGAAGGAAUAACUGGUGUUUAUGAUCUUCAUUACCUUUUUUUAACAUUCAGAUCUUCAGAGAAAUAAACGUUUGUCAAAGUGAAGUACGUAAAGAGCCCACAUGACUGAAUUCACUCCAUUGAGUAUGUGAAGAUGUGAAAAUGUUAGUUUUAAAUGCUGCAUUCACUCUCCAGUCCAUACAGUCUAUAUAUGGGAACUGAACGUCCUGCUCUGAAUUUACUGGAUUUGUCCUGAGGUCGUUCUACAGCAUCUCUAAUGAGGUAAGGUCUCUCCACUGACUGGACAACUCCAGAAGGCAGAUUUAGUUUGGAAGCCAUUCUGUAGUAGAUUCACUUUGAUGCCUGGGGAUGUCGUCCUGCAUUACUCAGACAGCCACAGUCAGUCAUUCUUGAUGAUCAGUCAAGGCCCAUCAUAAUCAUGAUGCUCCCACCACCAUACUUCACUGCUGUCGUGCUGUUUUCUUAUUUACGCCGAAUGUAGUGCUGUGUGUUCUUCUCAAACCACUUUCAUCCGUCCACUAAAAGGUGCUUUUUGGUAAACAUCAGGUGUGCGUUGGUGUUUUUUCAUAGACUCACUCCUGACUCCAAGCUUUUGCUCAU